rnacentral:rRNA from 1 species
CCUGGGUUUGACAUAGAGGUGGUAGGGAAGCGAAAGCGGACCGACCCUUCGGGGAGUCUCUACAGGUGUUGCAUGGCUGUCGUCAGCUCGUGUCGUGAGAUGUUCGGUUAAGUCCGCUAACGAGCGCAACCCUCGCUGUGUGUUACAAGUGUCACACGGUACUGCCGGUAUUAAGUCGGAGGAAGGUGGGGAUGACGUCAAGUCAGCAUGACCUUUAUAUCCAGGGCUACACACACGCUACAAUGGUCAGUACAAUAGGUUGCCAAGCCGCGAGGCGGAGCCAAUCCUAAAAAGCUGGCCUCAGUUCAGAUUGCAGUCUGCAACUCGACUGCAUGAAGUUGGAGUUGCUAGUAACCGCAGGUCAGCUAUACUGCGGUGAAUAC